rnacentral:rRNA from 1 species
AGAGUUUGAUCCUGGCUCAGGACGAACGCUGGCGGCGUGCCUAACACAUGCAAGUCGAACGGGGCUUGUUAUCCAGAAUUUUUCGGAAGGACGGAGAACAAGGCUAGUGGCGGACGGGUGAGUAACGCGUGAGUAACCUGCCUUUCAGAGGGGGAUAACGUUCUGAAAAGGACGCUAAUACCGCAUAACAUAUAGAGGUCGCAUGGCAGCUAUAUCAAAGGAGCAAUCCGCUGAGAGAUGGACUCGCGUCUGAUUAGAUAGUUGGUGGGGUAACGGCCUACCAAGUCGACGAUCAGUAGCCGGACUGAGAGGUUGAACGGCCACAUUGGGACUGAGACACGGCCCAGACUCCUACGGGAGGCAGCAGUGGGGGAUAUUGCGCAAUGGGGGAAACCCUGACGCAGCAACGCCGCGUGAAGGAAGAAGGUUUUCGGAUUGUAAACUUCUUUUGUCAGGGACGAAUAGAUGACGGUACCUGACGAAUAAGCUCCGGCUAACUACGUGCCAGCAGCCGCGGUAAUACGUAGGGAGCGAGCGUUGUCCGGAAUUACUGGGUGUAAAGGGUGCGUAGGCGGCAGAGCAAGUCAGAUGUGAAAUACACGGGCUUAACCCGUGGGCUGCAUUUGAAACUGUUCAGCUUGAGUGAAGCAGAGGCAGGCGGAAUUCCCGGUGUAGCGGUGAAAUGCGUAGAGAUCGGGAGGAACACCAGUGGCGAAGGCGGCCUGCUGGGCUUUAACUGACGCUGAGGCACGAAAGCGUGGGUAGCAAACAGGAUUAGAUACCCUGGUAGUCCACGCUGUAAACGAUGAUUAAUAUGGGGGGUGGGGUCUAGCCCCCCUCCGUGCCCCAGUUAACACAAUAAGUAUCCCACCGGGGGAGUACGUUCGCAAAGGUUGAAAACUCAAAGGAAUUGACGGGGGCCCGCACAAGCGGUGGAGUAUGUGGUUUAAUUCGAAGCAACGAGAAGAACCUUACCAGGACUUGCCAUCGUACUAACGAGACAGAGAUGUAUUAGGUGCCCUUCGGGGAAAGUAGAGACAGGUGGUGCAAUGGUUGUCGUCAGCUCGUGUCGUGAGAUGUUGGGUUAAGUCCCGCAACGAGCGCAACCCUUAUUGUUAGUUGUUACGCAAGAGCACUCUAGCGAGACUGCCGUUGACAAAACGGAGGAAGGUGGGGAGGACGUCAAAUCAUCAUGCCCCCUAUGUCUUGGGCCACACACGUACUACAAUGGCGGUCAACAAGAGGGAAGCAAUAUCGCGAGAUGGAGCAAAUCCCUAAAAGCCGUCCCAGUUCGGAUUGCAGGCUGAAACUCGCCUGUAUGAAGUCGGAAUCGCUAUGUAAUCGCGGAUCAGCAUGCCGCGGUGAAUACGUUCCCGGGCCUUGCACACACCGCCCGUCA